UACGUAGGGUGCGAGCGUUUGUCCGGAAUUAUUGGGCGUAAAGGGCUCGUAGGCGGUCUGUUGCGUCAGGAGUGAAAACUCGGGGCUUAACCCCGAGCCUGCUUCUGAUACGGGCAGACUAGAGUGUGGUAGGGGAGACUGGAAUUCCUGGUGUAGCGGUGAAAUGCGCAGAUAUCAGGAGGAACACCGGUGGCGAAGGCGGAUCUCUGGGCCAUUACUGACGCUGAGGAGCGAAAGCGUGGGGAGCGAACAGG
rnacentral:rRNA from 1 species